GUGGGGAAUAUUGCACAAUGGGGGAAACCCUGAUGCAGCAACGCCGCGUGAGUGAGGAAGUAUUUCGGUAUGUAAAGCUCUGUCAGCAGGGAAGAAAGAAAUGACGGUACCUGACCAAGAAGCCCCGGCUAACUACGUGCCAGCAGCCGCGGUAAUACGUAGGGGGCAAGCGUUAUCCGGAAUUACUGGGUGUAAAGGGAGCGUAGACGGUGAUGCAAGUCUGGAGUGAAAGGCGGGGGCCCAACCCCCGGACUGCUCUGGAAACUGUGUAACUUGAGUGCAGGAGAGGUAAGCGGAAUUCCUAGUGUAGCGGUGAAAUGCGUAGAUAUUAGGAGGAACACCAGUGGCGAAGGCGGCUUACUGGACUGUAACUGACGUUGAGGCUCGAAAGCGUGGGGAGCAAACAGG
rnacentral:rRNA from 1 species